GGGGGCGUCCAGGGUUCGACGGGGGACAAGUCCGGCUGUCGGCAGCGUGUCGAGGUCCACCCGCUCGUAUCAGGGUGGAACAACACAACAGCCAACAGCAACUACGCUCUGGCCGCGUAAGUCGGCCACGUCGCUCCCGAGGCUCCGCCCGUCGGCCUGGGUUCGGCGCUGCUUGACGGGCUGGGUUGCCGCGAAGCCCGGGCGCGGUGACCGAGAAAAUACGGGCUGGCCCUGCGGAGCGGUUGCCCGCUGACCGACCGCGGGGCGAGAUCAACUAGCGGGCUGCGCACGGAGAAGCCGCCGGCCGGAGUCCCUCGGACGUGGGUUCGAUUCCCACCGCCUCCACCA
rnacentral:tmRNA from 1 species